rnacentral:rRNA from 1 species
CCCUUAGAUGUUCUCGGCCGCACACGCGCUACACUGAAAGAGGCAACGUGUUUGCCUGAUUCGAAAGAAUUGGGUAACCCCCUAAUCUCUUUCGUGCUGGGGAUUGAGGUUUGCAAUUAUCCUUCAUGAACGAGGAAUUCCCAGUAAGUGCGAGUCAUUAUCUCGCGCUGACUACGUCCCUGCCCUUUGUACACACCGCCCGUCGCUACUACCGAUUGAAUGAUUUAGUGAGGACUUCGGACUGAGUCCAAUGCGGCUUUCGGGCUGCGUUGGUAUUUCGGAAAGAUGUCCAAACUGUAUCAUUUAGAGGAAGUAAAAGUCGUAGCA